rnacentral:rRNA from 1 species
AGGAUAAACGCUGGCGGCGUGCCUAACACAUGCAAGUCGAACGCGCUUUCGGGCUUCGGUGCGAGAGCGAGUGGCGGACGGGUGAGUAACACAUGGGUACCUACCUUGGAGUGAGGGAUACCGGCGAGAAAUCGCCGACAAUACCGCAUAGGCUUCUUCACAAGGGAAGCAAAGUGACGCGAGUCACGCUUUGAGAUGGGCCUGUGGCCGAUUAGCUAGUUGGGGGGGUAACGGCUUCCCAAGGCGACGAUCGGUAGCUGGUCUGAGAGGACGAUCAGCCACACUGGGAUUGAGAACGGCCCAGACUCCUACGGGGGGCAGCAGUGAGGAAUUUUCCGCAAUGGAGGCAACUCUGACGGAGCAACGCCGCGUGCAGGAGGAAGGUUUUCGGAUCGUAAACUGCUUUUCUCGGGGACGAGCAAGGACGGUACCCGAGGAGAAGCCCCGGCUAACUACGUGCCAGCAGCC